rnacentral:rRNA from 1 species
ACGGAGGGUGCAAGCGUUAAUCGGAAUUACUGGGCGUAAAGCGCACGCAGGCGGUUGAUUAAGUCAGAUGUGAAAUCCCCGGGCUCAACCUGGGAACUGCAUCUGAUACUGGUCAGCUUGAGUCUCGUAGAGGGGGGUAGAAUUCCAGGUGUAGCGGUGAAAUGCGUAGAGAUCUGGAGGAAUACCGGUGGCGAAGGCGGCCCCCUGGACGAAGACUGACGCUCAGGUGCGAAAGCGUGGGGAGCAAACAG